UAUAUUCUACGCUGCUGGGUUACUAUAUUCGACCCACAAGAAAUGGGACAACAAAACAUUAACAUGGUUUGUUGCUUGUCUGAAUUAGUUCAAUCGAGUAGCAGCAUUGCCUUAGUCAUAAUUUCAAUAGUCCCGUAUCAAGUAACCUAUUAUUUAUAUAUUAUAUUAUUUAUAGCUAGAUUAUGCUACACGCACUCCCAGUUUUGUACUAGAUACUGAAAAGUGAAUCCCCAAUCUCGGAGGUAGAUACGAUUUCUACCGACGAAUUACGAAGUAAAUCAAGGGGAACGACUGCGAAUGACUCGCACUUGUUACACGGGAAUAUCCUGAUUACUGCGUUUUCCAACAAGAGAUAGGUAUGGUGUGUUGCUGGAUCUGCGAGGCAUGUUCCUGCAUCACACGAACAAUAUGUUUGCUUAUAUUCCUAGCAGUAGUGGCGGUAAUUAUUGUCCUAGCUUUGUUUUUCACGGGUCACAUUCACUUAAAGAAGAACUGAGUCAUAAUUUACGUACAUAUAGUAAUUAGUUGUCCGAUUUACGUGACAGAGAUCUGUAAUGCAUACAUUCAACCUUCUACUUUGCAAUGAGAGCCUGUUUUGUAAGCGAGUCAAAAAGUUUGCGGAAGCUAUGUAUGAAUGACAAUUUCUAAGUAGGUGUAUAUUGUUUUGUUUUUAAAUGAUAAUAAAAAGUUGUUUACUUUA